rnacentral:rRNA from 1 species
AAGAACCCCGGGAGGGGAGUGAAAUAGAAACUGAAACCGUAUGCUUACAAAAAGUUCGAGCACAUUAAUGUGUGAGAGCGUGCCUUUUGCAGAAUGAACCGGCGAGUUAUUGUAUUAUGCAAGGUUAAGUCGAACAGAUGGAGCCGAAGCGAAAGCAAGUCUGAAUAGGGCGCUUUAGUAUGAUGCAAUAGACCCGAAACCGAGUGAUCUAGCCAUGAGCAGGUUGAAGUUGGGGUAAGACCCAAUGGAGGACCGAACCGAUAUGCCCGGAAACGCGUACGGAUGACUUGUGGUUAGCGGAGAAAUUCCAAACGAACUCGGAGAUAGCUGGUUCUCCCCGAAAUAGGUUUAGGCCUAGCCUUGAUUGAAUCUGCCCGGAGGUAGAGCACUGAAUGUGCGAUGGCGUCGUCUAGAUGUACUGAGUACAAUCAAACUCCGAAUGCUGGGUAGUACUAAUCAGGAGUCACUGUAUGGGUGAUAACGUCCAUACGGGAGAGGAAAAGAAUCCGGAUCGCCAGCUAAGGUCCCAAAAUUUGUGUUAAGUGGGAAAGGAUGUAGAGUUGUCAAAACAGCUAGGAGGUUGGCUUAGAAGCAGCCACCCUUUAAAGAGUGCGUAAUAGCUCACUAGUCGAGUGACACUGCGCCGAAGAUGUACCGGGGCUAAACACAAUACCGAAGCUGCGGACUUGUACUUAUGUGCAAGUGGUAGGGGAGCGUUCUAAGGGCUGUGAAGGUAGACCGUAAGGACUGCUGGAGCGUUUAGAAGUGAGAAUGCCGGUGUGAGUAACGAAAAUUGGGUGAGAAUCCCAUUCACCGUUUGACUAAGGUUUCCUGGGUAAAGUUCGUCUUCCCAGGGUUAGUCAGGACCUAAGAUGAGGCUGAAAAGCGUAGUCGAUGGACAACAGGUUUAUAUUCCUGUACCACCUAUGUAACUGAUGGAGUGACGGAGAAAGCUAAUGAGAGCCAGUUAUUGGAUUCUGGUCUAAGUGCGUAGGCUAGUAUGUUGGGAAAUCCGCAAUACUAUUACAGCUGAAACAUGAUGGGGAAGUGAUCCUUCGGGUGAGUAAACUUUCAUGAUGCUACGCUUCCAAGAAAAGCUUCUAGGGCUAAUUGCAUAGGUGCCUGUACCGACAACCGACACAGGUGGUCAAGGAGAGUAUCCUAAGGUGAGCGAGAGAACUAUGGUUAAGGAACUCGGCAAAAUGACCCCGUAACUUCGGGAGAAGGGGUGGUCUAGCGAUAGACCCGCAGUGAAUAGGCCCAGGCAACUGUUUACCAAAAACACAGGUCUCUGCUAACACGUAAGUGGAUGUAUAGGGGCUGACGCCUGCCCAGUGCUGGAAGGUUAAAGAGAUUAGUUAGUAUGACGCAAGUCGAUAAUACGAAGCUUUGAACUGAAGCCCCAGUGAACGGCGGCCGUAACUAUAACGGUCCUAAGGUAGCGAAAUUCCUUGUCAGGUAAGUUCUGACCCGCACGAAAGGCGUAAUGAUCUGGGUACUGUCUCAACCAUAGACUCGGUGAAAUCUUAAUACCUGUGAAAAUGCAGGUUACCCGCGACUGGACGGAAAGACCCCGUGGAGCUUUACUGUAGCUUGAUAUUGGAAUUCGGUAAACUAUGUAGAGCAUAGGUGGGAGACUAUGAGACUAAGGCGCCAGCCUUAGAGGAGUCACCAUUGGAAUACCACCCUUAGUUUAUUGGAUUUCUAACCUAGAGCCAUUAUCUGGUUCAGGGACAGUGUCUGGUGGGCAGUUUGACUGGGGCGGUCGCCUCCUAAAAUGUAACGGAGGCGUUCAAAGGUUCCCUCAGAAUGGUUGGAAAUCAUUCAAAGAGCGUAAAGGUAUAUAGGGAGCUUGACUGCGAGACCUACAAGUCAAGCAGGUGCGAAAGCAGGACUUAGUGAUCAGGCGAUUCAGAAUGGAAUGGUCGUCGCUUAACGGAUAAAAGUUACCCCGGGGAUAACAGGCUGAUACCACCCAAUAGUUCACAUAGACGGUGGUGUUUGGCACCUCGAUGUCGGCUCGUCACAUCCUGGAGGUGAAGUCGCUUCCAAGGGUUGGGCUGUUCGCCCAUUAAAGUGGCACGCGAGCUGGGUUCAGAACGUCGUGAGACAGUUCGGUCCCUAUCCGUCGUGGGCGCAGGAAAAUUGAGGAGAGCUAUCCUUAGUACGAGAGGACCGGGAUGGACCUACCUCUGGUGUAUCUGUUGUCACGCCAGUGGCAGUGCAGAGUAGCUAUGUAGGGAAGGGAUAAACGCUGAAAGCAUCUAAGCGUGAAGCCCUCUCCAAGAUGAGUUUUCCCAUUGU